rnacentral:lncRNA from 1 species
CUGCUCGCAGCACAGAAGCGGUGCUCUAAAAGGAGUAUUGCACCCAGCUCUUCCUUCUGGAGCCUUCCUGGAGUAUGAGGGAUGGGAGCCAAAGUAGCUGCUGGAAGGAACAGUAACAUGCUCCACACCAAUUGCUGCCUCGUGAUUGCAACCAGAAAAUGACUUGUUGCUGUGUGAGCCUUGUCCCAUCUGGACUUGAAAAUGUGAGCGCCUCAUGACUGAGGAAACUGCAGAAGAGAUGCCGUCACUUUUGUGAGAGGUGCCAGUCGGUGAUAUCUUCCACUGGAAAACGAUCAAAUCAGAUCUCCAAGACAUUUGCCGAAUUAGAGGUGGGAAUGUGGUGCUGCUAUACCUCUAAAAGAGUGCUGGAGAAACUGAUGAAUCUGUAAGUGCAAAUCUCUUGCGGCUUUUUUCACCAGCUAUUGAGCUGAUGCUGGGUGUUUCUUCUGGUGCAUUUGCUCCAGAGGAAAGAACAAGUUAUGAAAAA